GAGAUCGACCACCUUAGAUUUGAAAAUACACAGUGGGUUAACCUCAGUUAUUAUGUUAGAUGAACUGUCUGAUCUAUGCAAAAUAUACUCUGAUUAUGAAUAUUUCGCGAUAGCACCUUUAACUUCUUUUCGAAAAAUAGAACAGUCUUUUUAAAAGAAAGCUAGGUUGAAAUGGAGUAAUAAUCGUUUUUACUUUUAUUUUUCAGGAAUCAUCAAUAGUAUUCUGAGUUGGGAAGGCUUCGUACCAUUCGCAAGAUUGACUUACAUGGUGUACCUCGUUCAUUAUGGUCUAAUAUACAUUUAUACCGGUUCCAUUAGGCAGUCAAUGCUGUUAGGACAUCGGACUAUGAUAUUCAUAUUUUUCAACAUUAUGAUCCUCAGUUUCUUGGCAGCUUUUGUGCUAGGUCUAUUCUUUGAAUCGCCUUUAAUGGCAUUAGAGAAAGCAUUCUCGGAUGGAAAACUGAGAAAAGAAAUCAUGCCAGUCAAUGCAGUAAAUGGAAUUGAUAUUAAGAAGAACACUGCAUGAGUAUUGAAUUCUAUGAAUAUGACAGAUAUAAUUUUUAAAGAGGUCUUCAUUUGACAAGUGCCUGUCAAUUCUUCAUUCGUGCUGCCUUAAAGGCAAUAAAUCCAUCUUUGACUUUCAAGCUGUUUUAACAUUUGAUAUUCUAUCAAUCAUUAGCCAUUAAUUGAAUGAAAAAAAAACUAUAGCAUAGUAAACUAUAGUAAUAUAUUGAUUUCAAUAAAUUGUUUUGAAACAUU